UACAGAGGUCCCAAGCGUUGUUCGGAUUUAUUGGGCGUAAAGGGUGCGUAGGCGGCGGAGUAAGUUGGGUGUGAAAUCCCGGGGCUCAACCUCGGAAUUGCAUUCAAUACUGCUUCGCUCGAGUACUGGAGAGGAGACUGGAAUUUACGGUGUAGCAGUGAAAUGCGUAGAUAUCGUAAGGAAGGCCGGUGGCGAAAGCGAGUCUCUGGACAGUUACUGACGCUGAUGCACGAAGGCCAGGGGAGCAAACGGA
rnacentral:rRNA from 1 species